rnacentral:lncRNA from 10 species
GAUAAGGAUACAGAUGUGCACACAGAGAAACAGCCAUGUGAGGACACAAGGAGAAGGCAGCCACUUACAACCCCAGGAGAGAGGCCUUGGAAGAAACCCACCUUGCCCACACCUUGAUCUUGGACUUCACCCUCCUUCAUCAAUUGGAAGCUGCUGAUCCUGAAUACUUUCCAAAUGCUGGAUGGUACAGAGUGAGGCCCAGAGAAGAGUUGGCGAAUCCUGUUGGGCUAGGAGGAGGAAUAGGAGUAGUAUUAGUUAGACCAAAUGGUAGAACAGGACCUGUGGGUUCAGCUUCUCCUGGGAAUUCCAUCUCUCUGUGAUGUAGACCUGGAAUCCCAGUGAACAUCCUGCAUCCUCAGUGGCCAGCUGUCUGAGGCCACAGUUGUUUCUGAUGAUCGAGGACAAGGAGACUUACCACCCCAUGGCUGAG